CAUAACUGCCCUAUUGGAGAGACUAAGUGCAUAACAUUUGCUGGUACCAUGCAGCAAGUGGGUACAACUCUACGGUUGGCUGCUUUCAAAGGAUGUGCAACAUCAGAUUUCUGUAAUUUUAUAACAACAAUCCCAACAGGAGUAAAGCAAAGUCUGAAUGGCUUGCUGAGGUUCAAUGUCACCCAAGCGACAUGUGUUGAUGCCCAGCCAUCAUCCUAUACUUCUGGCCUAUAGAUGUGCCCUUCGUGGGACUUGGGAGGAAACUGUGCUAUCAGCGGCAGGGUGUGGAAGAUCUCUGGAGAAGCUGGAGGCAGGUGCAAGAGGGCAGGAAAUUGAGGUUUGGGAGAUGUAGUUAGAGAAAAUAUGGCACAGGGAUUUCCAUUUGAAUUGUUAUCUGAAUAAAUUGAUAAAGCAGACAAAUUCUGUUUCUUGCAUUGGGGCUUUUCAAGUGAAUAAUUUCUAUGCAGUGAUGGCACAAUGAAUGUUAACUUCUGAAGGCCAAGAACGAGAAGAAAACUGAAAAUUGUAAUCUGGGAUAUGAAUAGUUUUCCCCUAAUGGCACAGGUUUUAGUUUUGUUUUUUCUUUAGUAGGGGGAACUAGUUCCACUAGGAAAGCUGAAUGAAGAGAAAAGCAUUACACUUUCUGGCUUUGUUAUGUGCUCAGUGUAGAAGGCUCAUUUUUCCAUUACACCACUAUUAUCUGCAAAUAUGUAAAGAAACUAGAGAUCAGAUAAAAGAUCUCAGUUGUCUAUCCAGUUACAUCCUGACUUAACUAGUGACUGAUUUCUUUGGCUCACCCACCCCCACCAUUCAAAUGUUUCCAGAAGCUUUGAUUCUGAGGAAUAUUCAAUUAAAAAUUCACUAGCAGCUUGUACCUGGCAGUUCUCAGGAAUUCCAAGGAAACAAAAAUCUGUAUGGUUUGGAAAGGUCUAUAGACUGAAACUUCCUCCUUGAUGUCAGGAACCCUCAAGACAAAUUGUCCCAAAACGAUUCACAUUCUAAAGCCAAAACACAGGUGUAGCAUGAAAGGCGAGGUCCAGACAUAAUCCAAGGUCAAAACACAGUAAGUCCUUUGUUUCUUAGGGGUAAAGGCAUAAUGCAAAGCCAGAUCCCUUAAGGGUGCCCUGAACCCAAUCAUGUUUCUGUAUACUUAAUGUGGGGUGCAUGAGUUGUUAGGGGAGGGGUUUUACCUCUGGUGGAGGGCACGUUGUGCUCAUUCUGGGGUAGUUUGUCCACCUUUGCCCCCCCUUGCACUCUGCUCUCACCUGUGGCUGCUGGAAGCAAGUGACAGCAUCCACACCCCAGGAAACUGGCUUUGAAUGGCUAGCUAAACCAGGUGAGGGAUAAACCAGCUGACCC
rnacentral:lncRNA from 1 species